AAAAAAAAAAAAAAAAAAAGAGUAAAGACUAAUUCCUAAUUAAUUCAGACUAAUUGCAUUAGGAAUAAAUAAAUACUACUGUUUAACGUUAAAACUUUUUUUACUUAAAGUGAAUACUGUUCCUGGAAAACAUUUGAUUGAUAUUUUAUCGUAUAGUAAUAUUUUGACAGCUAUUAUGCAACCCAUAGGGAUGGAGAAAGGUCCUAGCUAGAAGUUAUAGAGUUCGAAGUUAUAUCACUCCCCCAGGUAGAAUUCGCUUUUAUUAUUAUUUUCCACACUAGUCAUCAUUAUCAUCACUAUAGCUAGCAUGUAGCCUUAUUUUUCUUUGUUUUGACAGUGACAUUUGAAAAGUUAUUUUUAAUUUGUCAAAACAUUUGACCAACUCUUAUCUUUUCCUUUCAACUUUUUUGCCUCUCUCUUUCUUUUGAAUUUUGCUCUCUUUUUUCCUCUUUGAAAAUUAACCUCAAAAGUCAUUUCAAACAGAGAGAGAGAGGUUAACGCAUCUGAAUACAGCCAGUACAAUUCUCUGAGUUGUUGAUAUUUCAAGGUAAAAUUAUAAAUCAAUCAAUCAAUCGGUUUCACAAUGAAAAGAAAACAUGAACAAAUGAAAACUAAAUAAAGAGAAAGAAAACAUCAAUUCUUUACAAAAUAUAGUACAGUGUCACUCACUUUUACAUUAUUAUUUUCAUAAAAUAUGCUACACGUAAUUAAAUAUGUAUCAAGUGAGAAAGAGAGAGAAAGUAGAUCUGCGGUGGUUUCGGCGUUCGGUCGGCGCGUGAGCGUCCGUGCCAACGCCGGAGUCCGUCGUCCUUCAGUUUAAUAGUUUCGGAAUUGUCUUCUCCUCAUCUCCUUCAGUGGCCGCCUUGUCUGACCUCUGGCCAAACAUCCACCGUGGUGGUUCUGAUCUUGGAGUGAAGACGCGGUUACUUGGAGGGUUGGCGCGGUGAAGAUGAUAGUUGGUUGGGUCCUGUUUCCGGGAGGUGGAGGCUUCCACAGCUUCGCCGCCGCCGGUUCUUGUCGCCGCGAGGUGGAAGCUUCUUCAGUUUCGCCGUAGUCGGUUCUAGUCGCCGGGAGGUGAAGGCUACCACAGCCUUGCGUCGUCGGCUGUAGGUAUAUCAGUGGGUUUGUUUAGGGUUUUUAGGAUCCGUUCUUUAGAUCUGGUUGGUUGUCUUGCGGGUUUAGUGUUUGAGAGGUUGGGCCUUGUCGGAGGAGCUCUCGAAGAGUGUUGAGGCUCUCCGAUGAGUUGAUGAAGCGAAGAAAAGAGAUGGUUUCGACGGAGGCUCUCCAGGUUAUGAGCUCCGGCGAAAGGAAGUGGCGGUGAUGUGGUACCGAUGGAGACCUGCGGCGAAGACGGUCAAGUCGAGAUGGUGGCGACGCGUGUCGUCCUGAGAGUUUAGAUGCUCACACGUGUUCAGUUGCCACCCUCCUUGUUGCGUAGUUCGGCCGACGUCGUUCGGGAGUUAAAUGGUUGGGCCGACGGCCCGUUAAUGGAUUCGGUUUUAAUGUUUUGGGCCUGUUGCCUUUUAGUUGUAUCUGGGCUUCGGAAUAUGUUAUCUGGGCUUGGCCCGUUUUCUUUAAUUAAAAAUUAUCCAGACGGAAAAAAAAAAAACAAUGUUUGAUGCAAAAAAAAAAAAUUAAAUAUGUAUCAAGUAGUAUCCGUAAAUUAAUCAUAAGUAUUAUUCACAAGAGAAUUAGAUGUAGAGUGAUAAUAAAUAAGUUAGAUUUGAUCAUAAAUAGCUUAAACUAUUGAAGUAACUGAGAGACGAGUAAGACAACUUUAAGCUUGUCUGACGUCAAUGCAAACACGCACAGAGAUUCAGACACGCUCACAAGACGCGCGCGCGUGCGCAUAAAUAUCAUAAACUCGCGCUUUGAAAUCAUUCACGUUUCAGGGGUUCAAAAGAAUCGCGUUCUAAAACGCAGAGUAGGUUAAAUAGAGAUUUGUGGGGACAGAUGCAGAGACCGUGCGUCGCAAAAGUCCAAGGAAUCAGCGGUUUCUUCAAAAGGUUAAUGGGCCCCAACGCGUUUUUGGUCUUUGUCUCCAUGUCACUAUCUUCUUUUGUCCUUUUUUUUUCUAUCUUGUGGCGACCGGAUUAGGUAAUGUACUAUUACCUCAUAUGUAAUGGGUUAAUGUUAGGCUUUAGCUUUUGUAAUAAGUUAAAUUUUAGUUGGGCUUCGUUUGAAAGCAGCCUGUAAUGUUUUUGGCCUUUUAAUUUUAAUGAACCUUUUGUGGAGAAAAAAAAGACUCCAAAAAACAUAAGAAUUCAUUAAUCUUCAACACCAUAAUGAGUUAUGGAUUUCAAGUCACAGAAAAAAAAUUUCUUACAUGGUGCAAUGAAUAUCAAUAUAUCAUCAAACGUAAAUUUCAUAAGAUAACUUGAAAUCAAACGUGAAUUCUAAUCAAAUAUGUAAAAUUAUCAGUUGUAUAAUCAAUCUUUUUUUUUUUUUUGGUAAAAAUGUUAAAUUCAUUACCAGUUUUCAAUUUUUUAUAGACAAACAUAGAUGACAAGAAGCAGAAUACAGAAAAUAAAAUCUAACAGAAACUCAAACCUAAUGUUACAGAGCCUAUCUACAAGAAUAACAGCAGUACACAAAAGAAAACAUCAGAGACAGAACACUCGCUUGCCGCAGAAAUCAAACCCGCAAUUAAACCGAGAGAUUGGACCCGGGAGAAAUUGGCGAACCGCGGUGACCAACUCUUAAUGAUCGGGUUGUCAAAAACAGCUCGCUAAGACCAUCUAAUCUGCGACCUUCAUGGACAAACUGCUAGACUCGUGACCAAGGACACCUGCAUUGAGAAGGUUGAGCUUUAUUGGAGAAGGAGCACCCACAAGCCGCCACACGCUAUCGAACCUGCAUCAGAAAGACAUAAACAACAACCUCCACCCUUAAGGCAAAGCGGACCUGAGACAGCCCUAGAUCAGCCUCAAAACCCUGCUAUCUCAGCACGUGCCGCCACCAAGGAGAUGAGCCACGGUUGACAAGACCAGCAACUCAUCUCUUCGCACACGCCCCUGCGACGGAGAACCCGCCGUAGACCAUUCUGACUUGGAAACGAAAGCAGCUCGAGGAAGCCUCUGAGAGGAAGAUUGACCGGCCCAAAAAGCACGUUGCUGGAGACCACCGAGACAAGGGGAAGAAGCACCGCAGCUCCACCGUCUAAGGGAUCCAUGACGCCUUCAGCCAAGCUAAUCCACUCACCCAGCCGAGAAGAGCAAGCAAAGAGGGCAAGAGGAAGGAGAGAGAUCUCACAACCAAAGUCCAGAUCUGACACCAGAUCCAAACCCCCGCCACUCAACGCACCCAGAGGAACCGCACAUCCACUCUCCGCCCUGCUUCUCCGGAGAUCCAAGUCCGACGCGCCAGAUCUGACCCAUACGGAAGCGCAAAGACACAGAACCACCGAAAAGGAAACAGAGGAGAGGAGAGAGAGGAGAGGCGAAGAGGGAACAAAAACAAAGAGAGGCGGGCGACCAGCGACUAAGGAGGAGGAGGAGCGCCGCCGGCCACCCAAACGUGAAAAAUUAGGGUUUUAUUCUAGAGAGGAUUGUAGAGAGAGAAAACUUUAUUUUUACGUCAGGUAGAAUGAUCUUGUAUAAUCAAUCUUUGUAAUACUUCUCAUAAUAACAUAAUUGAUUAUCGUAAAAAAUUAAAAAUAUAAAAAUACCACAAGUUCUUAGCAUUUUUUAUUUCCAACCCCUUGAAUUUACCUUUACACCCUUUGUGUUGUGUUAUCAGUGAUUCUUGUUACUCUCUUCUCUUUGAAGACACUCCUUAAGUCCUCUAACAAUCUGUUGCAUGGCUGGCCUCUCAGCAACGUUCUGCGAAACAGAGGCCAAAGCAAGCUCCACAAUUUUCCAAACAGAGUUGGCAUCAAAAUCUCCCCCCAUUUUAGAAUCAACAACGUUGCUCACAUCAUUAGUAGACUUCAAGAUGGAUAUCACCCAAUCACUCACAUGCACACGCUUCGUCUCUGACUCACUGAUCACAGCUUUGCCUGUAAUCAUCUCCAAUAAAACAACUCCAAAGCUGUAGAUGUCACUCUUCUCGUUUAAUUCAUUUGUUUUAAAGCAUCUGCACAUUAUUUUAACAAACAGAACACAAUCAACACAAUAUUUAUUAUAUAUAUCUUAUAUAGGAUCGAUGGUCAACUUUGGACCGAAUCCAUUUUAUAUAUUAUUUAAGAUCUCUUGCAAUAUCCAAUGUGGUAGACUUUGUAAUAGAGAGAGAACUAACAGUGGAUCAAGAUAUCCAGGAGUUCCAGCGACAAGAGUGGACACGUGAGAACGGCUCUCUGUCUGAAAACUCCUAGAGAGUCCAAAAUCUGCAAGCUUUGCUCUGUUGUUCUCGUUCAACAAUAUGUUCGAUGUCUUCACAUCUCUGUGAACUAUCGCAGGUUUGCAUCCACUGUGAAGAUACUCCAGCCCUUGUGCUGCAUCAAGUGCAAUCUGAAGUCUUUGUCUCCAGCUCAAGGAAUGGUCAUACUUCCCUGAGAGAUGAUCUGCCAUGUUUCCAUUAGCCAUGAACUCAUAGACGAAUCCCAUUUGAUUAGAUUCAUGGAAAUAGCCGAUCAGUGCAGUGAGGUUUACGUGAUGAACCCUCACAAGUACUUCAACCUAUACAAAUAUAUGUUGUUAGAGUCAACCUUAAUGGUGGGAAUGCUCAUUUGAAUAUCUUUUAUAUUUGUUAUUAUUGUUUUAAAUUUUCAUUUUUACAACAAAAUUAAUUUCUAAAACCAUGACAUGUGUCUUUGUAGUAUGUAAAGAAGUUUUUUGAAAUACAAGUUCUCAAAGAUUUGUUCCUUCUUCUUAAUUUUAAAUUUUUUAAUUAUUAUUUUGUGGAUAUACUUUGGCUAAGGAAUCAAGUACAUUACCUCAGAGCGAAACUCUUUGAAUCCUUGAGCUGAUGAUUCUGAUAAAAGUUUAACUGCUACUUGAAGGUCGUUAUAGUAGCCAUGGUACACUGUUCCGAAACCUCCUUUACCAAGGACACGGCCAAAGUUAUUUGUCAUCUUUACAAUGUCUGGAAAGGUAAGAAGUAAUGUGUUUGAAUCCGCCUUAGGACGGUUUCUUGUUUCGCUGUCUGUAUCUUGUUCCACUGUCGCAAAAAUAAAGUUGAACAGUUGGUAAUGUGAUAAGCAGUUAGAUAGGUAUGUCAAUAGACUGUUACCUGGCUUGUUACUUCGUUUCUUGAUCUUCCAAAACACACCAGAUAAUAGCAAGAGAAUGAACAAUGCUGCCAAUGAUGCGCCAACCGCGGUUAUGAGUGUUUUUUUGUUGCUUUUUACGCAAGAAAUCUCGGUACAUAGGCCUGGAUUGUCUCCAACCUUUAGCAAGAGUGGUCCGCUCAUUGAUCUUCUUAAUAAGUCAGAUGGAACUGAACCUGUUAGCUUGUUCUUCUCUAGAUUCCUGCAGGUGUUAUUAAGAGUUAGAGCCUGUCUUUUAUCGAUCUAAUCUGUUAUGACAUAACUUACAAAACCCUCAAGAACUUCAGUCCUGACAGGGACUCUGGUAUGUCUCCGGUUAAGUCAUUGUUUGAUAAGUCUCUGCCAAUUAAGAAGAUAAAUAGUAGUUUAAUUCCUUGUUCAAAUCAAGAAACUCUUUAACAAUAUAAAGAAAGAUAAACUCACAGCUCUUCAAUCAUUGUGAGGUUAGAGAAAGAGGGAGAUAUGUGACCUGUUAACCCGCUCGAAGAUAAGUUCCUGAAUCCUUUAAGCAAUCAAUAUACAAAAUCUAAAGAUUGAACAAGAACAUAUGAGGACAAAACUACACUUACAGUAAUGUGAUUCUUGGAGGAGCAAAACUAGUAUCACUGCAGUUAAGUCCCUCCCAUAUGUAGCUAUUAGGCAAACAAGGAUCUCCUUGCCAGUUUCUCUUCACUUUAUAACUCAUCUUUAUACUCGUAACCGCGUCAUCUGUACAUUUUAACUGAAACCAUUGAUCAAACUAUGAUUAAAAGAUUGAAUUAGUUUAAGUCAUCUUACAAGCACGUACCGUCGUCUUGGCUAGUAAGAGACUGCGAGUAAGUAUUGCCUACGUAGAUCUCUAGAGCAUUAAUAAGCGGUGGAAGCGUAGACUGGGGGGUUCUCUCGAGAGUAAACCUAAUAUCUGUUUGGCUCUCAGGCGUCAGAACAAAAGUGUCUGACCGAAGAUACUUGGGACUGAAGUCAGCUAGUGUCUCCCCGUUAAUGCGGAUAUGGAACUCUCUUGUCUGGUCAGGUGUGAGACUGAGAUCCUCGACCUCAGCGAAGUGCAUGUAAACAAAGUACCUGACGGUUGGAUCACUGUUCUCCAAAAUCAUAGUGAUGGGGCUUGUUGCGUUUGUGGGAGUCAGUGCUGUGCUCAUCACCGAGCUUGGAAGGUUGUAACUAUUACUAUUGCCUGAAAUAACUGGACGUGAUGUAUUGAUCUCUCUAUAUUGUGUCCCCAGUUUGCGAGGAAUCCAGAUUCGGUCAUAUACAUCUUCACUAUACCUGAUUUUUUUUAAAAUAAAACAUUCCCAACUUUAUUACAGUGUAGGUAAAGAGCUACAUAAACAGAGAAUAAAUAGAAACAGAGCAAGAAACAGAGGAUGGAACAGAGAGUAUGAAACAGAGAAUAAGUAGAAACAGAGCAAGAAACAGAGGAGGAAACAGAGGAUAAGUAGAAACAGAGUAUGAAACAGAGAGCAUAAAACAGAGGAUGGAACAGAGGUUUACCUGAUAUGUUGUGAAUCAUUGAGAGAACCAAAGUUCCAGCGUCUGGAGAAGAACAGAGCACUAUUUGGAGAAUCGUACGUCGUGUUGUCGUUACCGAGAAAUCUCAGCUCUAGAGUCGAGAUAAAUGGAGUUCCUUUACCUUUGUUUCCCAAACAGACAAAGAUUUUCUCAGACUGGCUCAAGUAAACAACUUCUUUGGUCACUGGGAGGGGUGUGUUGUUAAAGGACAGAUUUGUCCAGAGACUGCCACCAAGAAACAGAUCAAAUUCUGGUGAACUGUUUUCUCCGCGUAGUUACCGUACAAGAAACUGGUUCUUAUCAAGUACUUCUUACCUUUCCCCUGUUCUGGAAUCAGAGUGUAACAGUUUCUUGAACCUUCAGGAAAGCUCCUCAGGUUCUGAAGCUGUCUUUGAGCAGCGAAGGAGAGCGUUUUAGAGACUCCGGUUUCAACAAAGGAUGAAUCAGAGACGUAGUUAAUGCCCGUUGUGUCGUCUGUGUAGGAUGAUCCACUUGGGAUCCCACAGUCAAUGCUUAUGAAACCUGUAAGAUUAUACAUUUUCAUAAAACAGGAUUAGACUUUCUUCAUUUCAACGACUCUUAGAGAUUAAAUAAUCAGUUGAUAAAUUAUAACCUGAUUGAUCCUGGGAAAGAACUGAAAUGACCAAACACAGUGCAAGAUAUACCAAAAAUGGAAAACGAACGUUUCCCAUUUUAAUCUGGCUUUUGAGAAAAGGCAACAAGAAAUGGGUUUGAGAUAUGUGAUGUGAUGAAGUUUGAAGUUCUGUAUUUAAAGAAAAAAAAAAUUGUUUUGGAGGUAAACUCUGAAGACCAAAAACAUAAACAAAUUGGAAGUUAAGUGAUUUAUAUUAGCUACUUGCUCUCUCUGUGACUUAGCAAAGUCAAUGAGAGAACUCAGCUGAUGUUUUCAAUAUAUAAACUAAAGUAUUUUUUUCAGUAUAAACUAGCAAGUAGCAAAUAUAUAUUUUCAGUACAUAACUCUAACUUAAAAUAUGUGUUAUACAUGACUAGCAUGAUCUUUAUUAUCUUCUGUCUGCCUUUAAAGUCUUCUGAGACUACUUUGAUAUGAACAACACAUUGUAUACAAAAAAAAAAGAAUUGUAUGAUGAUGAGAAAACUUCUUUACAACACUGUCAAAGAUCAAGACUCAGCAUGUAUAUAACAAAGUAACCAACAACAUGGUGAAGACAACAUUUGUUCCAAAACCACUAUGGUGGGCCUUGUUCAUGACACAUAGUCUUUAUCCCUAUCCCUUGUAUAUAUUUACACUUCAAUGACUCUAAAACCUAUCUUAUAUCAAAGCAGAACGGCGUGAAGAAUAGAAUGGACCAAGACUUCUUUUAGCAGCUGUAGUAACGUUUUCCGCAAGCAACCUCCAUUUAGACUCUUCUCUCUUGCUAAUCUUCUUCAUCUUCUCCUUGAAGUUCCUACAAGUUAUAAAAGAAAUGAUUACAAACUGUUUAUAUAACAUUCGAAGGAUCUGUUACUGGAACUUACCGGCAGAGAGGGACCUCGCAAGAAUCAGAACUACCACAGAGACAAGAGUGAAGCUGAAUAAGCUGCCACAUCCUUUUACAAUGACCACACGAAGCCCUAGCAGACUUGCAUCCCAAGAAAUGUCUAAGCCCACCUUCAACACCUUUACAAGCCGAGAACUCACACACAGCUUUGCUUCCCUUAAGCGCUUUACCUCGAGGCCCUAUCGUCCCACAACCUUCUCUAUAUAUAUGAACAAGAGCCUCCACAGCUUCAUAAAGCUCCAAAUACAUUCUCCUCUCCUCCACCUUCUUCCUCCUCUCUUUCUUCCUAGCGUCUGCCUCCACCACCGCCUCAAGAAGCUCUUGCUCUAGCUUACGAUCACCUCGCGUCAUCACCUUCCAUCCUUCCGUUGAAGAUACAGACUUAAAGUCUCUGAUGACCAUUGAAACGCAUAGAAAGCUGAUCCUCGCGGCGUCGCAGGUUCGAGCUAGCUGGAGCACGUCGAUGACAUUCUCCUUGUUGAUCCAUCCUUGACCGAGAACCUCUACGCAGACUCUUUUGAGAGAUGGGACCGAGUAGCAGUGUGAGAGAACCAACAAAGGGAGCACGUACUUCUUCAUGUCUUCCUCCUCGUAGCUGCAAGAGUAGAGAAACCGAAUGAACAUGUAGACAGCUUCUUGAGGCACUCCGAGGAACUUGAGGUGUGAAUUUCCUUUUUUGUCCCUUGACUGAUGUAGAAGCUGUGGCAUUACAGGUGAAGCUGCAGCCUACAUAAGAUGCAAUACAACCUUCUCUUAGCGUAUUACUUCUCUUAUAUGAGAUGAAAUAAGACUUUAUACUUACCAGUAUGUAUGAAUGGGCUAGAAAAUGAGAUUUGUUAUCGACUUCAACGUAUGUAUCUGCUCCAGUGCCUUCUUUGAAAAGCUUAUCCCAAGUUUCUAUUGUUUCUUGGGGCACAAGGCGUGAUGAUGAGCUCGAGGGUUUGCUUCUGGAAGCUUGGUAGGUUACACGAGGAAGAGGAGGAGGUUUUGGAAUAUUCUUGGCACAAGUAGAUACUUCUGAAGAAGCCAUUGAAUCAAAUCCCGCGACUUGAGAAUAGAUUAUGUUACAGUUCUUGAAUCUGCAAAGCAUCGACCACAAUGUCAAGAGUCGUACGUGAGAGCUAAGCAUCGACCAUAAAGUUCGAAACUUUGACACAAAACUGAUCAAAACAGAGGCAGAAACAGAGACUGUCACAGAACCAAGAAACGAAAGAACAGAGAAGCAAGAACGUUCAACAGAUGAAACUAUACGUAAAGAUUCUCAGUUUCGCAGUUCAUCAUUGCAAGAUAAAGUAAGCAAAACCCAGAAACUGUAACGAUCGAAAAGUGCUCAAACCCAACGAAGAACAGAGGAAGGGAGAAGAAACUGGAAGAGUCUUUGAUCAUUCUUACCCAGAAACAGAGACGACGACGUUUACCCAAUACUCGGCCGAGAUGAUAAAGAGUAUCUAGGUGAAGUUCAUAACCAUUACUCUUUCUUCAAUCACCACCAACUCAACGCGAUGCAGAGAAUGAUGAUCACAAUUGAAGAGCGAAGAAAGAGAAGUUUUUUUGGUGCCAAGUGGUUGGUUUCGUCCUUUAAGUCUAAAGCACACGGGAAGUAGCAAAUUUGCUUACUAAACGUCUGCCAAACGACGUCGUUAAUGAAGAAUUAGGAGUAUGGCAUUUUCUGACAUAAAGAACGAAAAAUUGAAGGCCACGAAUGAUUUUUAAAAAAGAAUAUUAUUAGCUUAAAAUGAUUUUGAGGGGAGAGAUAUUAUAAGGUUGAAAGACGUAUAUGGCUGAUCUUGAAUUGCACUAAAGACUAAAGUUAGUGCUCCUUGUCACCGCCAUUUUUGUAUUCUGUCUCUAUGCCCGGUAAGUUAAACUAAAUAGGUUUAUUAUUGGCACCUUAUCUUACCGACCAGCCGGUGGAAAAAUAGUACCGACCAGUCUAAUAAUAUGAUGGAUCCUUACUAGAAAUUAUAUAAGCGCAGAAUGUUCACUGUAAAAAGUAAAAUUAAUUAAGAAUGGUAAACAAAUUUAUCCAACAGAGUCAAAAUCAAGAACUUGGACUUUUGUAAAUAAGAUCUAUGAAUAUUACUGUAGGGACAACAUAUGAAUUGAGUGAUAUAAUAAGGUAGUGCUAACCAACUUUGUCACGGGUUUCGAGUGGACGGCGACGGAAAGUUCUUAAAACGGAGUGAUCAAACUCAAUAGUUUUAUUUUGCAGAAAUGUACUGUAAGCUUGGAAGAGCUUGGAGAUGACGGAUACAUGUGACUAGUCCAAUAAAAGAGCAACCGGCGUUAAACGACGUAUAUGUUUGCCUUCAAAUUACAUGUUAGUGUUACAGCUACGGGCCCAAAUAAUAGAACUAGAAGCCCAAUUAUUGGAUAUAAAAAGUACAUUAUCUUUCUUUUUUUUUAACGACAAACUAUUUUAUUAAUAUCAAACUGGAUUCAAAUGUUUACAUGAAACAUAAGAGAUAAACAACACAUUUUUAAGAAGAUUUUGAAAUUGGAAAAAUAAUAACACGUUGCUAUCUAACUCAUCCGUAGAAUAGGCUGAUACGCUAACUUUAUCCAUCUUCGUUCUCGGUCUUAGAUGAUCUUGUUUUUGGUUGUCAUGCAUUGUGACCAAAAGCCUCUUUUCUUUUCGAAGAUCAUUCGAUUGGAUCCAUCUGUUACAUCUCAAUCCGUCCUAUACACUUCCGCUGCAGGAGAUAACAUGUGUUGUUAUUGUCUUAACUCUCCAUGAUCUAGGUUUUCUCCCGAUUUGAAACCAACAAACACAAUAACUAAAGUACUCCACAUUGUGUUGAUGUUGUAAUAUAACCAUUGGACGCUGUUUCAGAACACUAUUUCCUUCAUCUUGGCCAUUACCAGACUCCUCCCAUUUUUUAUUUUUUGGUACAUUAUCUUUCAUAUUUUUUAAAUACUACCAUAAAGUUUUUUUUUUUCAUUUAAGAACUUAAAAGACCUUCAUUAAUAAUUUAGAUUUUAUAACUUUGAAAAUGUACUGUCUGAUAGUUAUUAGCGGAAAAAUGAUGUACAUCAACAUAGAGAAAUUUGUUAGCAUAUUAAAAAAAUUAUAUGAAAUAACGAAAAAUAUACAUAUCAUCACUUGAUAAACAUCUAGGGAGAUCCAAUAACACAUGUAUAAUCUGAUUACCAAAAAAAAAAAAAAAACACAUGUAUAAUCUAUUUGGAACUCUACUAUUUUACAUACUGAGAAUGUAUAUAAGUGAAACGAAGACUAGUCAAUAAUGUAUAACUGAAUGUUUUUAAUAUUCCUAUGAACAAAUAACCGUCGACCACUCAUAAUUCAAAUGAAAAUGACGGCAGAAUAUCUUGAGCCUCAAGAAAGAAGAGUCGCCAACGACUCGGGUCUCUUUUGGAGCAGGUCCAAAGGCAGUAAAGAGUUAAAUUAAUAGAAAAAAUAAAAAAGUAUGAGAGAUGUAGCUCAAAAAUUGCUCGAAUACAACAAUAGAACUCUUCUAGAUACUCUAAAUACAACUGUUAUUUUAUAAUUAACCUAACUAUUUAAAGAUAAAUAAAGUUUAAUCAGAUAAAUAAAAUAAAUUAUAAUAAUAAUAUAAAUCUGACAAGAACUCCAUUGAACAACUUUUAGUGUGGAAGAAAUUCUUAGCAUUGAAUUUAUAAUCCUACCGUUUCACAAAGAUAGUUUUUUAGUAUUUUUACAUAUAUUAAAAAACAUAUUAAAUCACUAUAAUAAAUAUAUUGUUUUCUAUAAUUUUCAAAUUUUGAUAAUUUUUAAGUAAUAGUAAAUUAAUAAAGUCAAAUAAUUUUUUUAAAAAUUACAAUUUUUUCAUAGAAAAUACAAAAAAACAAUUUUUGUAAAACAAUUUUUUUCUCUAAAACAUCUAACUUAAUGAAACGGAGGAAAUAGUUUAUAAAACCACUUCUUCAAAGCAAAUUAUUUGUAAAUAUAUGGUAUAUAUAUAUUACUUUUAAUUAGUAUCAAUUGGCUUGUUGCUGUAAAAACAAAUAUUUCUUAUCAACAGUAUUUUGAAGUUAAUUCGUCUUGAAAAAUUGUAGAUUUUCUCACACACACAGCAACAAAAACCCACAAGCAGGCGCUAUAUGAGCUACGCUUUUAAUACUAGUAGUAAAGUAGCUUUAGAUAGCAUGAGAUGAGUAUCUAUCAAUGAUUUACACUUUGGAUCCGGGUUACAUCAGCAAUGACCUCAACAGUAGUAAUAUACAGCUGAGCUGCAGUGUAUGUGUCUCCCCCAUGGUGAAGAAGACAAAAAUAACCUAAUAAAGUAUAUGUUUUUUUGUUGGUGUUAAAAGUAUAGGUAAACAUGCGUAUACUGUAUACAUGUUGCGAACUAUAUAUAUGUCGUACACUGGGUACUUAUGUCACAUGCAAAUUACAAUAAAUAAUUAUGUCAAUAUAUAGAUUGGUGGGUUGCAUUAUCACUGACCUCGGCCUCUGUUCCACACAUCUUGGUCGCCACGGAACCUUUACCUUUUUUGUAUUCUAGUCCAAGAAAUCGCCCCACCAAAGACGUAGUCAUAUCAAAGUCUUCUUAAUCCGAUAUUAUGGCUAUAUAAACACACCCACAUGUUAGACUGAGUAAACAAGAGCACAAUAAUAAAAAAGAUAAAAGAAAAAAAAUGAGAGAAGGAUCUCAUGUUAUCGUCCUGCCUUUCCCUGGACAAGGCCACAUAACUCCAUUGUCCCAGUUCUGCAAGCGCUUAGCCUCAAAGGGUCUUAAGCCCACUCUUAUCCUCGUCUCCGACAAACCCACUCCGCCUUACAAAAUAGAUAACGAUUCAAUCACUGUCUUCCCCAUCUCCAACGGCUUCCAAGAAGGCGAAGACCCGUUACAAGACCUAGAUGAUUACAUGGAAAGAGUAGAAACCAGCAUCAAGAAACGCUUACCGGAGUUGAUACAAGACAUGAAGCUGUCCGGAAACAUUCCUAAGGCUCUUGUGUACGACUCCACCAUGCCGUGGCUUCUUGAUGUAGCUCAUGAUCAUGG
rnacentral:lncRNA from 1 species